GAGGGGCAGCGGGGUAGUGCUUGCACUACUGCCGGCGACCGGCGCACGGGUGAGUAACACGUAUGGAACCUGCCCGCAGCAGGGGGAUAAGCGGAAGAAAUUCCGUCUAAUACCGCGUAACAACGUUGGGAGGCAUCUCCCGAUGUUUAAAGAUUUAUCGGCUGCGGAUGGCCAUGCGGCGCAUUAGCUAGUCGGCGGGGUAACGGCCCACCGAGGCGACGAUGCGUAGGGGUUCUGAGAGGAAGGUCCCCCACACUGGUACUGAGACACGGACCAGACUCCUACGGGAGGCAGCAGUGAGGAAUAUUGGUCAAUGGCCGAGAGGCUGAACCAGCCAAGUCGCGUGAGGGAAGACGGCCCUACGGGUUGUAAACCUCUUUUGUCGGGGAGCAAAGCGAACCACGUGUGGUUCAUUGAGAGUACCCGAAGAAAAAGCAUCGGCUAACUCCGUGCCAGCAGCCGCGGUAAUACGGAGGAUGCGAGCGUUAUCCGGAUUUAUUGGGUUUAAAGGGUGCGCAGGCGGAGGUGCAAGUCAGCGGUCAAAUUGCGGGGCUUAACCCCGUACUGCCGUUGAAACUGCAUCCCUUGAGUGCGCGAGAAGUAUGCGGAAUGCGUGGUGU
rnacentral:rRNA from 1 species